GUGCCCAUCGUCUAAUGGUGAAGACUGAAGGCCUCCUUGCGUGGCCUUCUCAUGUAGGUUCGAUUCCUAUUGUCUGCU
rnacentral:tRNA from 1 species